GGCAUCGUAGUUCAAUGGAUAGAAUAGGCGUUUCCUAAACGCUAGAUGCAGGUUCGAUUCCUGCCGGAGCCACUAUAU
rnacentral:tRNA from 1 species